UACCUAGGUCUACCUCAUAGAGUUGUUGUG
rnacentral:piRNA from 1 species